rnacentral:rRNA from 1 species
UACGUAGGGGGCAAGCGUUGUCCGGAAUCAUUGGGCGUAAAGAGCGUGUAGGCGGCCCGAUAAGUCCGCUGUGAAAGUCCAGGGCUCAACCCUGGAAUGCCAGUGGAAACUGUCGGGCUGGAGUCCGGAAGAGGCGAGUGGAAUUCCUGGUGUAGCGGUGGAAUGCGCAGAUAUCAGGAAGAACACCAACGGCGAAGGCAGCUCGCUGGGACGGUACUGACGCUGAGACGCGAAAGCGUGGGGAGCGAACAGG